rnacentral:rRNA from 1 species
UACAGAGGGUGCGAGCGUUGUCCGGAAUCACUGGGCGUAAAGGGCGCGUAGGUGGUGGCUUAAGCGUGCGGUGAAAGCUCGGGGCUCAACUCCGAGUCGGCCGUGCGAACUGGGCUCACUGGAGCAUAGUAGAGGCAGGUGGAAUUCCGGGUGUAGCGGUGGAAUGCGUAGAGAUCCGGAAGAACACCGGUGGCGAAGGCGGCCUGCUGGGCUAUGGCUGACACUGAGGCGCGACACGUGGGGAGCAAACAGG